AAGCCUGAUGCAGCCAUGCCGCGUGUAUGAAGAAGGCCUUCGGGUUGUAAAGUACUUUCAGCAGUGAGGAAGGUGGGUAUGUUAAUAGCAUAUUCAUUUGACGUUUAGCUGCAGAAGAAGCACCGGCUAACUCCGUGCCAGCAGCCGCGGUAAUACGGAGGGUGCGAGCGUUUAAUCGGAAUUACUGGGCGUAAAGCGCAUGCAGGUGGUUUGUUAAGUCAGAUGUGAAAGCCCGGGGCUCAACCUCGGAAUUGCAUUUGAAACUGGCAAACUAGAGUACUGUAGAGGGGGUAGAAUUUCAGGUGUAGCGGUGAAAUGCGUAGAGAUCUGAAGGAAUACCGGUGGCGAAGGCGGCCCCCUGGACAGAUACUGACACUCAGAUGCGAAAGCGUGGGGAGCAAACAGGAUUAGAUACCCUGGUAG
rnacentral:rRNA from 1 species